rnacentral:rRNA from 1 species
UUCCUACGGGCGGCAGCAGUGAGGAAUAUUGGUCAAUGGGCGCAAGCCUGAACCAGCCAUCCCGCGUGAAGGAUGAAGGUCCUAUGGAUUGUAAACUUCUUUUAUACAGGAAGAAAAAUCUCUACGUGUAGAGACUUGCCGGUACUGUAUGAAUAAGCAUCGGCUAACUCCGUGCCAGCAGCCGCGGUAAUACGGAGGAUGCAAGCGUUAUCCGGAUUCAUUGGGUUUAAAGGGUGCGUAGGCGGCUUUUUAAGUAAGUGGUGAAAUCCUGCCGCUUAACGGUAGAAUUGCCAUUGAUACUGAAGAGCUUGAGUACAAUUGAGGUAAGCGGAAUGUGUAGUGUAGCGGUGAAAUGCUUAGAUAUUACACAGAACACCAAUUGCGAAGGCAGCUUACUAAACUGUCACUGACGCUGAUGCACGAAAGCGUGGGGAGCGAACAGGAUUAGAUACCCCUGUAGUCAU